ensembl:snoRNA
CACACUGUCUGGUGUCUGCACCCAACAGUUUAUUCCUGCUGGUGUGUUCAAAGGACAGUGCAAUAGAAACUCAGUAUCUGGCAAUGAUGGUUUUCUUGGCUUUGUGCAUGUUAUACCUGGUAUUUCAAUUGAUAUGGUA